AUUUCAUUUCAUAAAAGUCGCUUUGAGGUUCCUGAUAUGUUUACUUAAUAUUUUUAAAUAAUAAGUAUAUUUUUUACUAUAUAGUUUUUGAAAGCAAUUUAUUUACGAUUUAUUUUAAAUAUUUUGUUCACCAAGACUUAACGUACACGUACAGUUUUUAAUUACUUAAUCAAAUAACACGGCGGAGUAUUGAAAAUUCUUUUUAUACUCUGGCAAACCCUUUGUCAGUAGAAAAAGGCACGACUUUCAAAUUUUCUAUGGGAACAACCAUUCGCGCUUAAAUUUUUAAAUUUGCCUUCUUUUUCUAAUGACGGAAAUGGUUUGCCAAACGACUAACUAUGCAUAUUACAUGUACGGUUAAAAUUAAUAACAGCGCCAUCUUUUAAAACACGGCGAUACUACUACUAUAACUGCCUAGUUACACUCCACUCAUACCUAUCGGUCACUGAUCUGAACGCCUAAUCCUACCUAUGCGAGAAUCCAAAAUGGCGGGCAGCGGCUGGAACGAAUGCGCGCGCUCCCCGCCAUCACGCCGCGUGACGUCACAAGCUUCUGUCAGCUGAGUUGCAAAGCAAAAAAGAAACAGUUUGUUUUAUUGUAAUCAAAAUCAUGCCUUUUUACAA